rnacentral:rRNA from 1 species
UGCCAGACUCCUACGGGAGGCGGCAGUGGGGAAUAUUGCACAAUGGGGGGAACCCUGAUGCAGCGACGCCGCGUGGGUGAAGGAGUACUUCGGUACGUAAAGCCCUAUCAGCAGGAAAGAAAAUGACGGUACCUGACUAAGAAGCCCCGGCUAACUACGUGCCAGCAGCCGCGGUAAUACGUAGGGGGCAAGCGUUAUCCGGAUUUACUGGGUGUAAAGGGAGCGUAGACGGCAGUGCAAGUCCGGAGUGAAAGCCCGGGGCUCAACCCUGGGACUGCUCUGGAAACUGUAAAGCUGGAGUGCGGGAGGGGCAGGCGGAAUUCCUGGUGUAGCGGUGAAAUGCAUAGAUAUCACGCAGAACUCCGAUUGCGAAGGCAGCUUACUAAGCCAUAACUGACACUGAAGCACGAAAGCGUGGGGAUCAAACAGGAUUAGAUACCCUAGUA